ACAACUGCUCCAUGGAUAACUCUACAUUCAAAGCUGUGUGUUCGUGUCCAAGGGGUUUCCGUCUGGGAAAGGACCAAAGGACGUGCGAGUUUCACAAUCUGUGUCUUGAAAACAACGGAGGGUGUUCGGACAACUGCUCCAUGGAUAACUCUACAUUCACUGUCGUCUGCUCGUGUCCGAAGGGCUUUGUGGUGGGAAGUAACAAGCGCGCCUGUAUUAGAGACGAGUGUACAGUAGAUAACGGUGGCUGUAGCCAUUUCUGUGUCCAU